AAUCAACGCUGGCGGCGCGCUUAACACAUGCAAGUCGCACGAGAAAGGGAGCAAUCCUGAGUAAAGUGGCGUACGGGUGAGUAACACGUGGGAAUCUACCUCUUGGCGGGGAAUAACCCUGGGAAACCGGGGCUAAUACCGCAUAAGCUCGUGAGAGGAAAGCAGCAAUGCACCGAGAGAGGAGCCCGCGGCCGAUUAGCUAGUUGGUGGGGUAAUGGCUCGCCAAGGCGAAGAUCGGUAGCCGGCCUGAGAGGGCACACGGCCACACUGGCACUGAAACACGGGCCAGACUCCUACGGGAGGCAGCAGUGGGGAAUCUUGCACAAUGGGGGAAACCCUGAUGCAGCGACGCCGCGUGAGCGAUGAAGCCCUUCGGGGUGUAAAGCUCUUUCGACAGGAACGAUAAUGACGGUACCUGGAGAAGAAGCUGCGGCUAACUACGUG
rnacentral:rRNA from 1 species